UACGGGGGGGGCAAGCGUUGUUCGAAAUUACUGGGCGUAAAGGGCUCGUAGGUGGCCAACUAAGUCAGACGUGAAAUCCCCAGGCUCAACUUGGGAACUGCGUCUGAUACUGGAUGGCUUGAAUCCGGGAGAGGGAUGCAGAAUUCCAGGUGUAGCGGUGAAAUGCGUAGAUAUCUGGAGGAAUACCGGUGGCGAAGGCGGCAUCCUGGACCGGGAUUGACGCUGAGGCGCGAAAGCUAGGGGAGCAAACGGG
rnacentral:rRNA from 1 species